CUAAUAUUUAUUAUUGAUAAAAAAUACAGUUACUAAUAAUAUUGGGUGAUAAUGUUUUUGACCUUCUAUGGUCCUUUUCAGCCUCACUUAAAAAGUGUUUUGAAAUGCGCAUACACUUGUUAUGUGAGGCAGAGAAGGACCAAAGAAGGCCAAAGACAAUUUCUGUUUGGUAUUAUUAGUAACUGUAUUUUUACUAAUAAUAAAUCGAAGUACUCCUGCUUAGCAUGCUUGCUGAAUUAUUUGUAUUAUUUUAUGAACAGCAAAAACUGAAAGUUUAUGAUUAUGAAAAUGAUUAUUUUAUAUACAUAAAAGUGUAACAAUACUUUUCUCAUAAUGAUCCAAUACCAAGAGAAUGCCCAAAAUUGAAUAUGCUUGAAGAUGUUUAUAUAGAUAUUCUUAUAAUAAAUAAAAGAAAGUUAAGAAAGUAAUAUAAAGUUGGAUUUUUUAUUAGUUUAUAUUUUGUAAUUGAAAAAAUAAAUUAAAAAUAAUUGCUAACAUAGAUUUCAAUAACAACUAGAUACACAACUCAAUGUUACUUCGUAUAUCUGGCAGCAAAGCCUGAAGGUAAACAAGCCACCAUUUCUAAGUAGGGCAGAAGAGCACAGGAAUACAUAGCAUUAAAGAGAAAUUUUUUCCCAUCAAUUCAUAAAUCAAAUUUAUUCACGUUUCAAAAUUUUUCUUAAAACUAAAAAGUAAAUAAUGCCAAGAUUUUCAAUUUUUAUUGAAAAUAAAUCAUAUUCAUAACAUGUAUUUAUUUAAAAAAUAAUAUACAAAAUGCAAACUUGCUUAAAUUAUUGAUGUAAAAAUAAAAUUGCUUUUGUUAAUUUGUAUCUCUGACUGACAUUAUUUUGAUUAAAGUUUUUUGAAUGUCCAUAAAAUCUAAUUUUUUGAUAUGCAUUACAAAUUAGCACUAUUAAUUCUAAUUUGUGACUAAA
rnacentral:lncRNA from 1 species